rnacentral:rRNA from 1 species
AUGAACGAGAAGGCCUCCGUCUCCAAGGAGCUCAACGCCAGGCACAAGAAGAUAUUGGAAGGCCUUCUGCGGUUGCCGGAGAACAGAGAAUGUGCAGACUGCAAGUCAAAGGGUCCUCGAUGGGCAAGUGUCAAUCUUGGGAUCUUCGUAUGCAUGCAGUGUUCUGGAAUUCAUAGAAGCCUUGGGGUACACAUAUCAAAGGUAAGGUCUGCUACUCUGGAUACAUGGUUGCCAGAGCAAGUUGCAUUUAUUCAAUCAAUGGGAAAUGAAAAGGCAAAUGGCUAUUGGGAAGCAGAGCUGCCCCCUAAUUAUGACAGGGUUGGGAUAGAGAACUUCAUCCGUGCAAAAUACGAGGACAAGAGGUGGAUACCGAGGAAUGGAACAUCAAAACUGCCCUCUAGUGCUCGAGAUGAGAAGAGCUCUGGAUCUCAGGCCAGUCAUGCUAACAGGGGUGGGCACGCUCAAAAACCUUCAUUUGAGCAACACCGUGUUUCACCAGCUGCUACGAAAAGAACUGUUCCAGUGGCUUCUAGGAUGCACACGCAGGCAUCACCUCAGCCAAAAGCAGAACUACCAGUUCCCAAGGUUGCUUCGCCUCCUCAGCCAGCAAAAUCUCCUGCUAAAGUUGAUGUGACACCCCCAAAAGUUCAUCAGCCAUCGGUUGCACCCCCUCCUAAAGUUGACUAUGCCAUUGACCUCUUUAACAUGUUAUCGAUGGACGGAACAACUGAGAAAGAACCAGUGUCAUCUUCCAACGACGAUAAUGCUUGGGAUGGCUUCCAGUCUGCAGAACCAGCACCUAACUCCGAGAAAAAGGAUACUGCUAAGCCAGUAGAAAGUAAGGCCCAGUCUACAACGGGAAUCGAAGACUUAUUUAAAGACUCGCCAGCUGUGGCAGCGUCUUCAGCUCCAGUUGCUUCCAAAUCAAACCCACAGACAGAUAUCAUGAGUCUGUUUGAGAAGUCGAAUAUGGUAUCACCAUUUGCUAUCCAUCAGCAGCAGCUUGCUUUUAUGACCCAGCAACAAGCUUUACUGAUGGCUGCUCUUAAAUCUGGAAAUGCACCCCAAAUGGUUCCGGGGAAUGCACCCCAAAUGGUUCCCGGGAAUGCCAGUGUGCUAAAUGCUAAUGGUUCUAAUGCCCCUAAUGGAAGCUUGCCUUCCCAUAGCUGGCCUAAUCUAGGUUAUCAGAACCCUGCAUCUAUUCCAGCAGCAGCACCACAAAAUGGUGUCGCCAAGGCUGGGAACAACAAUCAGGACUUCUUUUCUGGGAACUUCGGUUUUGGUUCGCCCGGCAUGCCAGCAAAUGGGUCCACAACCGCAGGUGCUAACAAGAGCGCAUCCACCCCUACCUCUUCUACCCUGCCCUCUCAAUCAGGCAAAGAGUACGAUUUUUCCUCAUUAACGCAAGGAAUGUUCUCGAAGCGAUGA